AGCUUUGCGCAGUGGUGAUAUCGUAACCAAUGAGGUACAACCGAGGUGCGAUUAUUACUAGUUGAAAACUAAUAUAUACUGGCAUGUUUUACUUGAUUUUUUUUUUUAAAUAACUAUUCAUUGGAAUAUGAGUUAAAAU